rnacentral:rRNA from 1 species
UACGUAGGGGGCAAGCGUUGUCCGGAAUUAUUGGGCGUAAAGCGCGUGUAGGCGGUCCGGUAAGUCGGCUGUGAAAGUCCAGGGCUCAACCCUGGGAUGCCGGUCGAUACUGCCGGACUAGAGUUCGGAAGAGGCGAGUGGAAUUCCCGGUGUAGCGGUGAAAUUCGUAGAUAUCAGGAGGAACACCAGUGGCGAAGGCGGCUUUCUGGACGGUAACUGACGCUGAGGCG